rnacentral:rRNA from 1 species
AGUGAACGCUGGCGGUAGGCCUAACACAUGCCAGUCGAACGGCAGCACAGUAAGAGCUUGCUCUUACGGGUGGCGAGUGGCGGACGGGUGAGGAAUACAUCGGAAUCUACUUUUUCGUGGGGGAUAACGUAGGGAAACUUACGCUAAUACCGCAUACGACCUACGGGUGAAAGCAGGGGAUCUUCGGACCUUGCGCGAUUGAAUGAGCCGGUGUCGGAUUAGCUAGUUGGCGGGGUAAAGGCCCACCAAGGCGACGAUCCGUAGCUGGUCUGAGAGGAUGAUCAGCCACACUGGAACUGAGACACGGUCCAGACUCCUACGGGAGGCAGCAGUGGGGAAUAUUGGACAAUGGGCGCAAGCCUGAUCCAGCCAUACCGCGUGGGUGAAGAAGGCCUUCGGGUUGUAAAGCCCUUUUGUUGGGAAAGAAAAGCAGCAGGUUAAUACCCCGCUGUUCUGACGGUACCCAAAGAAUAAGCACCGGCUAACUUCGUG